rnacentral:rRNA from 1 species
AUACUUGUUCGUUUGGACGUUAAAUGGUUUUCUGUAGAAAAACUAAAGCUAUACAUGCCAAGCCUCACGGUUGCAUUUAUUAGAUAUUCCAAUUAGGUGAAUCAUAAUAACUUCGCAAAUCUCGGUUUUGCCGAGAUAAACCAUCCAAGUUUCUGCCCUAUCAUGCUUUCGAUGGUAGUGUAUUGGACUACCAUGGCUUUCACGGGUAACAGGGAAAAAAAAAAAAAAAUCUGGAGAAGGAGCUGAUCCCCUCCUUUUUUACAUCUACGGGGGGCCCCCCCCCCGUAAAUUACCCAAUCCUGACUCAGGGAGGUGGUGACAAGAUAUAAGGACGCUAUGAAAAAUAGUGAUUAUAGUGAGGGUAUUCCAAACCGAACCCCAGAACGAUUAGAGGGCAAGUCUGGUGCCAGCAGCCGCGGUAAUUCCAGCUCUAAUAGCGUAUAUUAAAGUUGCUGCAGUUAAAAGCUCGUAGUUGGAUUUCAAGGAUUGUGUACUCUCUCAGAGUAUGCACCCUACUAGUCUUUGACUUGUUCCGUGAGAAAUUAGAGGGUUU